rnacentral:rRNA from 1 species
GAUUAAGCCAUGCAUGUGUAAGUAUAAAUAAUUCUACUUUGAAACUGCGAAUGGCUCAUUAUAUCAGUUAUAGUUUAUUAGAAAUAAUUUACUACUUGGAUAACCGUAGUAAUUCUAGGGCUAAUACAUGAGUAAAUCCUCGACUUUGAAGAGGUGUGUUUAUUAGUAUGAAAACCAUAUGCUUUUGCAUAAUAGUGAGUAAUAAUAACCUUUCAUAUCGUAUGUUGUAAUAACGAUAGUUCUUUCAAGUUUCUGCCCUAUCAGCUUUCGAUGGUAGUGCAUUGGACUACCAUG